CACCGCGGUUAUACGAGAGGCCCCAGUUGAUGGACGCGGCGUAAAGGGUGGUUAAGGUUCAAUAUAAAUAAAGCCAAAAGACCUCUUGGCUGUCAUACGCCCCUGAAUGUCCAAAGCCCACAUACGAAGGUAGCUUUAAUAUUUAUUCACCUGACCCCACGAAAGCUGAGAAA
rnacentral:rRNA from 1 species